ensembl:lncRNA
CACACGGAGGCCAGACCAGGGCAGUGCUGUGAGGCCCCAACACCCUUCGGUAGGCGACAUGAGUGGGGGACAGAUUCUAACACCUUGAUUCCUCAUGUGUGUGUUUCUGCAGUGUGGAGCACUGUGAGUCUGUGUGGCAGCGUCCACGAUGAAGAUGACACAGACUCGGUGGUGGAGAGCAGCAACAGCCACCAGGACGAGGAGGCUGCAGGUAGGGAAGAGCACGCAGCUGGGAUCCAGUGGGAGAGGGUUCCUGGGAGCACCUGGGUUGCACCUGCUGCCGGGCGAGGGAGGAAGGGGGAUGGGACUUGGCGGGUGGGUGGGUGGCCUAAUGAGUGGAAGCCUGGUGUGGCGUUUUCCCCUCUGAAAUUGAUCACACGAAGAAGACUUGGGUGCCUGGUCUUUGUUGUGCUGUGUGUGUCUUCCUGUCUCCUUCCUUGGAGAGGGAAAAUGGAUUUUCCCUCCCAAAGCUGCUCCUUCCAGCUCUUGGCUCUGGCCACUGUGCCAGCUUGCUUUGUGACUCGCACCCUGAGGGUCCUGUGCACAAGAGCUGUUGACUUAGUUUCCUUUAGUGACCUUGAUGGACCUGACGGGGUGGGACGCCAACCUCUCCUAGGCCCCCGACCCUGGAGACGAAGUUGGUCUAGUGAGUGUCAGGUGGUGGGUGAGAAGGCAGCUCUCUCCCUCUGCACGUGCAGGAUUUCUGGGCUCCCUGACCUGAUGUGUCCUCACGGUGUGUCUCAGGAAGGGGCGUCCCGAGAGUUGGAUGCCCAGAACAGGGAACUGAGGCACAGAGAUUACUAGGUCCCCUUCCCUGGCAUGUGUUUCUUCAACAGGGGAUGUGCAGAGUUCGCUAGUGUCCUAGACGUUAAGGGUCCAGUGUUGGAUCCCUGCUGUGGUGCAGAGUCUAGCCGUGGCCUGGGAAGUUCUGCAUGCCCUCCUGGGAGUGGCGAAAAUCAGUCAGUCAAUCAUUGGGAUUGACAUCAGACCAUUCUGCAUGGUCAUCAUCUAGGUUGUCUCAGCUACCAAGAGGCGUUUUCCCACAACCCUGUGUGGGGAGGUAGCGGUUUGAAGUGCAGCCCAAAGAGCAAGGUCUUUCUAAGUAGAACUUGGAUGCUGGAGGCUCUGCUGGGCAGCUGGGGAUUAUGGGCAUUGAGGGCUUGGCCUGGGAGUCAACGAUUAGUCAUGUCCCUGUGGUCUUCUGCAGUCAGUCUAUCACUCGUUCUCUCUGUUGUCAUGUAUUUUCCAGAAUCUUGCUUUGGGAGGAAAGGAUCUUGCUUCAGGAGCCUGAGGAUAAGUUUGUCCUCUGCGAGCUUGGCUAGACUAAUCCCCUGGUGGCCGCACAACAGGGUGCACCCAGCCACUGAGCCAGAUGAAGGUACUGUGGAACCUGACUCAGUACACUCAGGCAUGAACGAUGAUUCUGGUUCAUUCAGUGCUCCAGAUUUCAGAACAAACUCUACAGGUGCUAAGCCGUAUCUCUCUUCUAGUGCAUGGUGCAAAUUCAAAUGAACUAACUCGGAGUUCCGGUCGUGGCGCAGUGGUUAAAGACUCCGACUAGGAACCAUGAGGUUGCGAGUUGGAUCUCUGGCCUUGCUCAGUGGGUUAAGGAUCCGGGGUUGCCGUGAGCUGUGGUGUUGGCCACAGAUGCGGUUCGAAUCCCGAGUUGCAGUGGCUGUGGCGUAGGCCAGUGGCUACAACUCUGAUUAGACCCCUCUCCUGGGCGCCUGCGCAUGCCAAGGGAAGCGGGCCUAGAAAAGGCAAAAUGACCAAAACCCAACCAACCAACCAAAACCCAAAUUGA